CGGGGUGCAGCAGGCGCGAAAACUUUACAAUGCGGGAAACCGUGAUAAGGGGACACCGAGUGCCAGCAUCAUAUGCUGGCUGUCCAGGUGUGUAAAAUACACCUGUCAGCAAGGGCCGGGCAAGACCGGUGCCAGCCGCCGCGGUAACACCGGCGGCCCGAGUGGUGAUCGUGAUUAUUGGGUCUAAAGGGUCCGUAGCCGGUUUGGUCAGUCCUCCGGGAAAUCUGACGGCUCAACCGUUAGGCUUUCGGGGGAUACUGCCAGGCUUGGAACCGGGAGAGGUAAGAGGUACUACAGGGGUAGGAGUGAAAUCUUGUAAUCCCUGUGAGACCACCUGUGGCGAAGGCGUCUUACCAGAACGGGUUCGACGGUGAGGGACGAAAGCUGGGGGCACGAACCGGAUUAGAUACCCGGGUAGUCCCAGCCGUAAACGAUGCUCGCUAGGUGUCAGGCAUGGCGCGACCGUGUCUGGUGCCGCAGGGAAGCCGUGAAGCGAGCCACCUGGGAAGUACGGCCGCAAGGCUGAAACUUAAAGGAAUUGGCGGGGGAGCA
rnacentral:rRNA from 1 species